UUUUUACUUGAAUUGAUCUGUAUUGGCAGGACAGAAACAUGAAGCUGUUGGUGGGGAUGGUGGUGUCGAACAAGAUGCAGAAGUCGGUGGUUGUGGCGGUCGACAGGCUUUUCCACCACAAGCUCUACAAUCGAUACGUCAAGCGCACCUCCAAAUUCAUGGCCCAUGAUGAGCACAACCUCUGCAACAUCGGCGACCGGGUUAGAUUGGACCCUUCUAGGCCAUUGAGCAAGCAUAAGCAUUGUGUGGUUGCAGAAAUUUUGAAAAAAGCACGAAUUUAUGAACCACCAUCGAUGGCAACUACUACCUGUUCAAGCAGCAAGAGUGAAUUAUCAAUUUCUUCCUCCUAAGGUUUGGGUACAACCCUCCUAGAGUUGCUUUUCAUUUCUAAUGGUUAGAUAUGAGAAUUAUAAUAUAGUGUCUUGUUUUGAAUGAAUAUAUGGAUUUGGCAACCUGGUAUUUAAAGGUUAUAUUUGCCGCCAGGUUUGGGAACCAUCUAAAAUAGCUAAAAAGUCAAAACGUCACUAUCAAAAAAUCAAUUGUUCUCUCUACUUUUCCGCUUUUUUGCACUUCUUUUCAUAAAAAGCCAACCAAAAUAGCUAGUUGAAGUCACAUUUAUUUAUUUAUUAUAUAUAUAUUGCUUGAAAUAGUUGUCUGGAAUUAUUUCCCUAUUAUGUGUUUAUGUUAGUCUGGUUAACUUCUGUGGUUGUUCCUAAAAGCUACUUUUGAUGCAUCUAAUGCUUACAAGAGAUUAUGGACAAGCAUUUGAAAAGGCACAGUCAGAGAACAGUGAAUAAACUUACAUACCAAUGUACAUAUACGUGUGCAUACAUACAUAAUUAUGUACAUUAUAAAACAUAAAUUUAUGUCAGUACAGGAAAUCAUAUAUCCAUAUAUGUUAGAAAUUGGCUCUGUUCCGAGGUGAUUGAGUCAUUGAGAUAUGUGUAACAGCUUAGACACAUGCAAUUAUUUUGUUUGGCAUUGUUGACACAAUUUUUGAAAUGUAAAAUUUUUAGUUGCAUUUCGAAACUUCUGUAUGCAAAUAUCCAUUAUUUAGUCAUUGAAAUAAACAAUGUUGAUUAUUUGUUUGCAGGUUUCUAUUUCCAAUUUGGUGCUCCAAAUCAUUAAUUACUCGCUCAAUAUAAGUAAAAUCUCCAAUUAAUAAAGAACUUGAGUUAAAAUGGAAAAGAAGACAUUUAAAAGGAAAUGUUUCUUUUAUUAAAAUUUUGGGAGUUUGGAGCCCUUGAUUACAUGAUAUCAUACAAUGCAAUAAUUUUCAAUUAUGUCAAAGAAAAGCCAAACUGCAGAUUUGGAACCUUUGAAGGUUUGCAGAAGAGCUCCACUUGACAGAAUGUAGAAAACACUACUUGCAGUGCAUUGGUUCUCCUAUUUACAGAGGGCCAUUGAUAAGAAUCAAUUAUCAGUAAUUUGAAUUUGUAUGAGAUUGUGAUAUAUUGUUCAAUUAUAUCCUGUAUUUUGAAUUUAAACUUGAAUGAUCAUCUUCUAAAUUUCUCCAAUGUAGCAUUUCCACUGGAGGUUCUACAUGUGUUAUCCUUUGAUUGGGUAUACUGUCUCUUGAACUUUGAAGAUUCCAUGUGGCACUUAUCUUGCUUAUAUUCCGAAGACUUUUUUGGUUCUGUUGAUAUAAACCUCGAUCAAUUCAUAUAUGGAUCUUAGGCUUAGCCAUUAUAUAGUUGAAAUUUAUGUGCUAACGAAUGUUCCCUAGUGAUUUGUGUAAUUAAAAAUUCAAAUUAAGAUUCACAUGGAGCGCAUCAAUCAUAUUAACAACCAAAAGAUUGACCAAGUCAGAAUUCAUAAAAUAGUUUCAACCAAAGUAGAAAAACAGCACAUCCCACAGUAGUUCACCAGAAUCACCGACAUUCAUCAUUCAACCAUAGAUAAACUAAAAAAAAAUAGUUCACAAUCACACUUGCGUCCUUUCUUAAGCAAGAAAACCAAGUAAAGAAAAGACAAAAAAAAA